UGACGCAGUCGGUCAGCGUGUUCGGCUGUUAACCGAAAGGUUGGUGGUUCAAGCCCACU
rnacentral:tRNA from 1 species